CCUACGGGUGGCAGCAGUGGGGAAUAUUGGACAAUGGGCGAAAGCCUGAUCCAGCCAUGCCGCGUGUGUGAAGAAGGCCUUCGGGUUGUAAAGCACUUUCAGUGGGGAAGAAAGCCUUGGGGCUAAUACCCUCGAGGAAGGACAUCACCCACAGAAGAAGCACCGGCUAACUCCGUGCCAGCAGCCGCGGUAAUACGGAGGGUGCGAGCGUUAAUCGGAAUUACUGGGCGUAAAGCGCGCGUAGGCGGUCUGAUAAGCCGGUUGUGAAAGCCCCGGGCUCAACCUGGGAACGGCAUCCGGAACUGUCAGGCUAGAGGGCAGGAGAGGAAGGUAGAAUUCCCGGUGUAGCGGUGAAAUGCGUAGAGAUCGGGAGGAAUACCAGUGGCGAAGGCGGCCUUCUGGACUGACACUGACGCUGAGGUGCGAAAGCGUGGGUAGCAAACAGGACUAGAUACCCCAGUAGUC
rnacentral:rRNA from 1 species